GAUGAAUGCUGGCGGCGUGCCUAACACAUGCAAGUCGAACGAAGCACCUUACCUGAUUCUUCGGAUGAAAGUUUGGUGACUGAGUGGCGGACGGGUGAGUAACGCGUGGGUAACCUGCCCUGUACAGGGGGAUAACAGCUGGAAACGGCUGCUAAUACCGCAUAAGCGCACGAGGAGACAUCUCCUUGUGUGAAAAACUCCGGUGGUACAGGAUGAGCCCGCGUCUGAUUAGCUGGUUGGCAGGGUAACGGCCUACCAAGGCAACGAUCAGUAGCCGGUCUGAGAGGAUGAACGGCCACAUUGGAACUGAGACACGGUCCAAACUCCUACGGGAGGCAGCAGUGGGGAAUAUUGCACAAUGGGGGAAACCCUGAUGCAGCAACGCCGCGUGAGUGAAGAAGUAUUUCGGUAUGUAAAGCUCUAUCAGCAGGGAAGAUAAUGACGGUACCUGACGAAGAAGCUCCGGCUAAAUACGUG
rnacentral:rRNA from 1 species